rnacentral:rRNA from 1 species
UACGAAGGGGGCUAGCGUUGCUCGGAAUCACUGGGCGUAAAGCGCACGUAGGCGGAUUGCUAAGUCAGGGGUGAAAUCCUGGAGCUCAACUCCAGAACUGCCUUUGAUACUGGCGAUCUUGAGUCCGGGAGAGGUGAGUGGAACUGCGAGUGUAGAGGUGAAAUUCGUAGAUAUUCGCAAGAACACCAGUGGCGAAGGCGGCUCACUGGCCCGGUACUGACGCUGAGGUGCGAAAGCGUGGGGAGCAACCAGG